rnacentral:rRNA from 1 species
CCUACGGGUCUUGUAAUUGGAAUGAGAACAAUCCAAACCCCUUAACGAGUAUCCAUUGGAGGGCAAGUCUGGUGCCAGCAGCCGCGGUAAUUCCAGCUCCAAUAGCGUAUAUUAAAGUUGUUGCAGUUAAAACGCUCGUAGUUGAAUCUUGGGCUGGACGGAACGGGCGGGCCAUGAGGUUUUAGCCUGUGCCGCUGGUCAAUUUACUUUUCCGGAGUGGACCGUGUGCCCUUAACUGGGUGUGCGGAGUACACUGCUCCGGACGUUUACUUUGAAAAAAUUAGAGUGUUCAAAGCAGGCGUUUUCGCUUUGUAUACAUUAGCAUGGAAUAAUGAAACAGGACUUUGGUCGUGUUUUGUUGGUUUUAAUGACCGAAGUAAUGAUUAAUAGGGAUAGUUGGGGGCAUUCGUAUUUA